rnacentral:rRNA from 1 species
GACGAACGCUGGCGGCGUGCCUAAUACAUGCAAGUAGAACGCACAGUUUAUACCGUAGCUUGCUACACCAUAGACUGUGAGUUGCGAACGGGUGAGUAACGCGUAGGUAACCUGCCUGGUAGCGGGGGAUAACUAUUGGAAACGAUAGCUAAUACCGCAUAAUAUUGAUUAUUGCAUGAUAAUUGAUUGAAAGAUGCUAUUGCAUCACUACCAAAUGGACCUGCGUUGUAUUAGCUAGUAGGUGAGGUAACGGCUCACCUAGGCGACGAUACAUAGCCGAACUGAGAGGGUGAUCGGCCACACUGGGAAUGAGACACGGCCCAGACUCCUACGGGAGGCAGCAGUAGGGAAUCUUCGGCAAUGGACGAAAGUCUGACCGAGCAACGCCGCGUGAGUGAAGAAGGUUUUCGGAUCGGAAAGCUCUGUUGUAAGAGAAGAACGGGUGUGAGAGUGGAAAGUUCACACUGUGACGGUAUCUUACCAGAAAGGGACGGCUAACUACGUG